ACCGAACUAGCUCAAUUGGGAGAGCGUUAGACUAUAGAUCAAAAAAUCUCUGGUUCGAUCCCGGGUUCCGGUA
rnacentral:tRNA from 1 species